UGACUCAUGGAGGGGCAGAGUGAAAAUUGAAACAUAGGCGGGUGUAUAUAUAUUAUAACAUUGUGUGCGUGAAAUCCUCAGACAAACCCUAAAUCGGAGGGAUGGAAGGCAAAGGUAGAAAAACUCGAGUGACAAGGAGGGGCCCUUCUGAGGUUCUGGCUGAGGGUCCAGGCUCUGCAUUUGGUACCAAAGCAUGUGGAUUUACCACCACUAUGUCCAGGUGAUUAUUAUGACAUUGAUGAAGUGAGAAAAAGGUACCCUGGUAUUGGAAUCCAGCUACUUGAUAUCGCCCUAAUACUGGACGAAGAUCACUGCCUAGUUGAAAAAGUAUCCGGAGAUUCUAUUGAGACUGCUUUGCGUCGGAUGCAUAAGGUUUCAAGGUUGAAGUGAUUUGAGGAUCCUGCGGGUUGUUGGAAAAACUUUUUAGUGUGUUUCAAAUGUUUCGGACUUGCACUUGGGUUUUGGUAAAACUUGUUAAUAUGGUCAUGUUCUUGGUUAAUCUCACAAAAUUCAGUAUGCUAAAAAGCCAACUGUUAUUUGAACCGGUUUAGUAAUUCAAAUCCAUGUUUUAUUUUGCUUC